rnacentral:tRNA from 1 species
GUCGAUUAGGUGUUGUUUAUACAUGUCAGUUUUUCGUACUGGAGUCAAUCUUAGGGUUAGUCGAUG